GACGCUAAAGCUCGAAGGUGCGGGUAUCGAACAGGAUUAGAUACCCUGGUAGUCCGCACGGUAAACGAUGGAUGCCCGCUGUUUGCGAUACACUGUGAGCGGCCAAGCGAAAGCGUUAAGCAUCCCACCUGGGGAGUACGCCGGCAACGGUGAAACUCAAAGGAAUUGACGGGGGCCCGCACAAGCGGAGGAACAUGUGGUUUAAUUCGAUGAUACGCGAGGAACCUUACCCGGGCUUGAACUGCCGGUGAACGAUACAGAGAUGUUGAGGUCCUUCGGGACGCCGGUGGAGGUGCUGCAUGGUUGUCGUCAGCUCGUGCCGUGAGGUGUCGGCUUAAGUGCCAUAACGAGCGCAACCCCUCUCCGUAGUUGCCAUCGGGUGAUGCCGGGCACUCUGCGGACACUGCCACCGUAAGGUGCGAGGAAGGUGGGGAUGACGUCAAAUCAGCACGGCCCUUACGUCCGGGGCUACACACGUGUUACAAUGGGUGGUACAGAGAGCCGGGAGUACGCAAGUGCCCCCUAAUCAUGAAAUCCAUCCUCAGUUCGGACUGGGGUCUGCAACCCGACCCCACGAAGCUGGAUUCGCUAGUAAUCGCGC
rnacentral:rRNA from 1 species